rnacentral:rRNA from 1 species
GUAAGGAAUAUUGGUCAAUGGGCGCAAGCCUGAACCAGCCAUGCCGCGUGCAGGAAGACGGCCCUAUGGGUUGUAAACUGCUUUUAUACCGGAAUAAACCCUUUCACGUGUGGGAGGUUGAAUGUACGGUAGGAAUAAGGAUCGGCUAACUCCGUGCCAGCAGCCGCGGUAAUACGGAGGAUCCAAGCGUUAUCCGGAUUUAUUGGGUUUAAAGGGUGCGUAGGCGGCCUGUUAAGUCAGGGGUGAAAUUUUCCAGCUCAACUGGAAGCUUGCCUUUGAUACUGACGGGCUUGAAUGCAGCUGAGGUAGGCGGAAUGUGACAAGUAGCGGUGAAAUGCAUAGAUAUGUCACAGAACACCAAUUGCGAAGGCAGCUUACUAAAGUGUGAUUGACGCUGAGGCACGAAAGCGUGGGGAUCAAACAGG